rnacentral:rRNA from 1 species
CCUACGGGCGGCAGCAGUGGGGAAUAUUGGACAAUGGGGGCAACCCUGAUCCAGCCAUGCCGCGUGUGUGAAGAAGGCCCUCGGGUUGUAAAGCACUUUCAGUGAGGAAGAACGCCUGGUGGUUAAUACCCAUCAGGAAAGACAUCACUCACAGAAGAAGCACCGGCUAACUCCGUGCCAGCAGCCGCGGUAAUACGGAGGGUGCGAGUGUUAAUCGGAAUUACUGGGCGUAAAGCGCGCGUAGGUGGCUUGAUAAGCCGGUUGUGAAAGCCCCGGGCUCAACCUGGGAACGGCAUCCGGAACUGUCAAGCUAGAGUGCAGGAGAGGAAGGUAGAAUUCCCGGUGUAGCGGUGAAAUGCGUAGAGAUCGGGAGGAAUACCAGUGGCGAAGGCGGCCUUCUGGACUGACACUGACACUGAGGUGCGAAAGCGUGGGUAGCAAACAGGAUUAGAUACCCUUGUAGUC